UAGCUAGGGCUUGAAAUGCAAACACAGUUCGCUGAAUCUUCAAUGAUCCCAACUCCAAAAACGACUGAUCCCGAGUAGAAUUCUACCGCUCGUCGAUUCUUCACUGCCCCUUCAUCAGAUGUGGCCUCAACUUAUUCACAUCUUGCAUUUGAACUGGCUUCAGAAAGAACUCUUCUGCCCCUUCUUCCAAACAUCUGAGCAACACCCAAAUAGCAAAUUGCAGAACAUGAUGAAGACAUGGAAUUACCUUGGAAAGAAGAGGACCUUAGGAGCCUCUCAAUCAACUUUCUGUCAAUGAUGCUAUCAUCAACUGCCAAAACAUGGAACUUUGCAUCUGCUGCUACACUACACAUUUUGUGGGGAAAUAUGCCAAAUGAAGAAGAGGAGUCAGAGAGGACCAAGAAAACCAGAACUCCAGAGAGAAAAAUAGGACUGAGAAAUGAAGGUUUGUGGAUCUUGUGCUUGUGAUUUCUCUAUGGGGAGCCAUUUAGGGUCAGAGCUGAAACUAAAUAAUUUCCAAGAUAUGGACAGUUUGGAAAGCAAGAUCAGACCAGAUAGCAUCCCAGGAUUUCCCGGAUCCUCUAGUUUGACUUUUGAAUUGUUGAACAACCAAAAUGAUUGUGGUGUCUUAUUUUCUGGCACAUUUUCAAAUGUGAUAUUUUUUUUCAAAAUAAUAAA